GAUGAAGAACGUAGCGAAAUGCGAUACGUAAUGUGAAUUGCAGAAUUCAGUGAAUCAUCGAAUCUUUGAACGCACAUUGCGCCUGCCAGCACUCUGGCAGGCAUGUCUGUUCGAGCGUCAUUUCAACCAUCAAGCCCUAGGCUUGCGUUGGAGCCCUGCGGCUGCCGCAGGCCCCUAAAAGCAGUGGCGGGCUCGCUAUCACACCGAGUGCAGUAGAUUACUCUUCGCUCAGGGCGUGUGGCGGGUUCCAGCCGUGAAACCCCCUACUUCUCAAGGUUGACCUCGGAUCAGGUAGGAAUACCCGCUGAACUUAAGCAUAUCAAAAGCGGAGGA
rnacentral:misc_RNA from 1 species